UACAGAUUCUGACAAAAAUAA
ensembl:piRNA 21ur-2275 ncRNA